rnacentral:snRNA from 1 species
UCUGGAGAAGCGUCCUCA